rnacentral:rRNA from 1 species
CCUACGGGAGGCAGCAGUGAGGAAUAUUGGUCAAUGGUCGGGAGACUGAACCAGCCAAGCCGCGUGAGGGAUGAAGGUACAGAGUAUCGUAAACCUCUUUUGUCAGGGAACAAAGGCGGGGACGCGUCCCCGGAUGAGUGUACCUGAAGAAAAAGCAUCGGCUAACUCCGUGCCAGCAGCCGCGGUAAUACGGUGGAUGCGAGCGUUAUCCGGUUUUAUUGGGUUUAAAGGGUGCGCAGGCGGUCUGUUAAGUCAGCGGUCAAAGCCCGGGGCUCAACCCCGGACCGCCGUUGAAACUGGCAGUCGCGAGUUGGAGAGAAGUAUGACGAAUGCGCGGUGUAGCGGUGAAAUGCAUAGAUAUCGCGCAGAACUCCGAUUGCGAAGGCAGCAUGCCGGCUCCACACUGACGCUGAGGCACGAAAGCGUGGGUAUCGAACAGGAUUAGAUACCCGUGUAGUC